GACCUCGAAUCAGGUAGGAAUACCCGCUGAACUUAAGCAUA
rnacentral:rRNA from 2 species